AUGCCUUGCUUCGAGAGUCAACACAAGCAGGUCUUCCUUGCUUCACCAGCAGAUCUUUCUGUCCAAUCCAAGACAGUUGAACUUUGUUCUGGUUCUAUUGUCCAUACUAACUUGGCUGAUGCACAUUUGCACAUCAUGAUACCUCCCAUGUCGAAUCAACUAACCAUAUGUUUAAGUUCAGCUGCAAGUUUCUUGACUUGUGGCAUGAAAUCCUCCAAAGACAUACAUCUAAUUGGCGACUAUAUACAUGCACAACUACAUCUUCAUUCUUCAGCAAGGAAACGUGUUGGUACUAACUAG
rnacentral:rRNA from 1 species